rnacentral:rRNA from 1 species
AUGAGUAUCUUAUGCUGGAACUGUCGAGGCUUGGGGUCGGACUCGACAGUGGGCGAGCUUCGCUGGCUUGUGAAGCUUUACCGACCCUCCCUCCUCUUUUUGUCGGAGACGAAGAUGAGGAAUAAUCGGGUGAGGAACUUUAUGUGGUCUAUGGGUUUUUCUGGUUGCUAUGUUGUCGGUUGUGAAGGGCUGAGUGGGGGCCCGGCUUUGUUCUGGACCUCCACGACGGAUGUAACAAUGAAGGCUGCUAACAAGCGCUGCAUUGAUACUCAUGUGAACAUCAACGACGGGGUAGUUUGGUGUGCCUCCUUCGUUUAUGGGGAGCCCAGGAGAGAAGAUAGAUCUCAGUUCUGA